UUGCUUUCUCCGCGCUCUUGUUAGUUUCCAUUCAUAUUGUAUCAGUGUCCAAUCCUGGAUGGCAGGUCUGGUCUUUGCAUCCAUUGUUGGCAAGGCCUUGCCCUGCAGGCAGUGACCUUUAGCAGAGCUGGGCUGGAGGUUGUCAUCCAGACAAAUGGGGGCUGACCUGGAAUGUCUUUUUAACUCAGUGUCUCACAACGUGAGCCUCUGAAAGCCACUGCGAGAGCAGCCCAGCCAAAUGAGCUGGGUCCCUCUCACUCUGCAGACAAGAGGGCCAACAGGGCCUUGGGAUCUCCCUUUGCUUCUCCCAUGUUCUCCCUGAUGUUCUUCUGGAAGCCACAAACACACAGAGGUCUGGAUGCAGAGGGUGGCAGCUUCAUCUUCUUUUGUUCACUUUUGCUGCCUAAAGAUCUCUAGAGACCGUUUUCAAGCUACCUCACUCCCUCUCAGAGAAUCUACUCUCAGAUCUUCAUUCACACUGAGGUGUUGAUGACUGGUUACUAUCCAACACAGCUAUUCUCAUUAAAGUGUGAGGUGCCAUUUCUGAUUGCAGGAAGGAAAGUGGAGCUGGGACCGUUCCUGGGAGCCACCGACCAGACGUGCUGCUUCUACCGGUUGGGUAGAAUAUAGCCAACCCUUCCUUCCCCAGCCUGCUCACCCUGCUCCUCCCCUGCCAUCAAAGAGGAGGAUAAUUGAGGUCUCGCUGGCUUGCAGGAGGCCUCAAGCAUUCACCUCAGGGUCCCUUCCAGGGGAUUCAGUGACUUGGGAUUUCAGUUCCUACUCCCCAAGCAGUUUUCUCAGCACAAAAGGUUUUCAGUUCUUUUAAAUUCAUCUAAGGACACAGACUAUGCAGAGCAGUCAGGAUAUAAGCCAUGUGAGCAACAAAUAACAAAGCACUAAUUGCAUCUAGUGGGCAUAGAGUUUCAGUGACUUCAUGUUGGCUAAAUAUAGGCGAACACUUGGUGUGUUGUGCAUGCCAGGGGGAACCAUGAUGCAAUUAUCCCCUCCCUUUGAUGGAGGGGGAGAACCCGGGUCAGAAGGCAAGAAUGAGAUUGCCUAAUAAAUGGUCACUUGUGAUGGUCCCCAACUCCACUUGCAUCCAAGGUUUGUGUACACACACACACACACACACACAAUAAAACAAAGCAAACACGACUAUACGGCUUUAAAACAACAUAAAUACUCAGCUUCUGACCAGGGUUAAAAAUAAUUGCUUUACUUAAAAAUGUAAUGAUUUCACUUUUCUUUUUAAUCUUUAUUAUAUAAGAAAUUCACAUCCACCUUAGGAAAUUUAGAAAAAAGAAUGACGACGAAUUCUUAUCAAGCACUUAACAGGUGCCAGGCACUCCCUGCCGUAGAAGCUUUCCAUCAUCAACUCAUUUAAUCCUAACAAUAACUCUCUGAGCUAGGGACAAUCAUCAUUCCUGUUUAACAACUAAAAAAGAACAAGGGAUGAGUUCUGUAACUUGUUCAAGGUCACCUACUUAGAAAAGUGAAGACUGGGAGUUGAACUCAAGUGGGCCUGAUGGUGAAUUUCAUGCUCUUGAACUCUAGACCAGUGCUGCUCAAUGGACACAUACUGUAAGCCAUGUAUAUAAUGUAGAAUUUUCCAGCAGCGACAUUAAAAGAAGUAAAAAGAAACAAGUGAGAUUGCUUUUGAUAAUGUUUUAUUUAGCCCACCGUAUAGAAGAUAGAAUCAUUUCAACAUUCAAUCAGGAUAAGGAGUAAACUAAAUGAGAUAUUUCACAUUCUUCUUUUCAUACUAAGCCUUAAAAACUCAGUAUGUAUUUUACACUUACUUCUCAGUUAGGACUAGACAAAUUGCAAGUGCUCACUUAGAUACGUAUCCAGUGGCUACUGUACCGGGCAGGGCAGAUACAGAACAUUUCCAUCAUGGCAGACAGUUCCAUAGGACAGUGCUACUCUAGAUCAUAUUGACCAGUCAGAAAAGAAAAAAGUCCCAUAAACUCCCCGUCUAUUUCAACGUAUCAUAUCCUUCCUGCAUUCUUUGUAUGCAUUUACGUGUAUAAAUACAUUGUCUAACAGAUGAGGGUCAUACUAGGAAUAUUGUUUUAAUCAAUUUAUUUCUUUAAUGAUAAUGUGCAACCUGCCAGUGGUUUUGUCUCCCUGUAUAUAUGUGAGGCAGUGCUGGUGUGCUGAAAGUAACCUGGGACUUGGGAGUCAGAGGACUCAUCAUUUUCCAUCUGUGUGAUAUUGGACAAGCUAUUCUCUGACCCUCAGUUAUCUCAUGUGAUGAUUAAAUAGGAUAAUGUAUGUGAAAUGUGUUUUAUAAAUGAAGGCUCUCGGGCGGCUGGGUGGCUCAGUCGUUAAGCGACGGCCUUCGGCUCAGGUCAUGGUCCCGGGGUCCUGGGAUCGAGCCCCGCAUCGGGCUCCCUGCUCAGCGGGGAGCCUGCUUCUCCCUCUCCCUCUGCUGUUCCCCCUGCUUGUGUUCCCUCUCUCUCUCUGUGUCAAACAAAUAAAUAAAAUCUUAAAAAAAAAACAAAAAACAAGAACAGGCUUUGGGGUCAGAUAUUUGUAGGUUUGAAUUCUGGCUCUGAUGCUUUCUGGUUUGAAUGAGUGCUCUGGACCUGCUUUCUCAUCUCUGAAAUAGAACUGAUGCAUACUUCAUAGGGUUGUGGAGAGAAUAAACCAUAAGCAGAAUAAUACGUGUGAUAUGCUUAGCACAGUGCCAUGCAUGCAGAGUAAGCCC